AGAUAAUAUAUCUUGUUCCGGUGUAUGCGUAGAGCAUCAUCUUACCAAUAAUUGUGAGGCGUACUUCAAUUCCACCGACCUUUGUAGCUCGGGCAAACGAUGUUGCGUCAAUAUAACCUCAUACGUAGGCAGCCUACCACCGGACCUCGUCGUGCCCUCUGAAACUAUACGUCCCACAGAACAGUCUCUAGCGACGACAACGGCCACGAAUGUGACCACGAGUUGACCAACAACGAGAAAGAAAACCUCAUCAAGUACCUUCAAACAAAUCAACUGAACUGACGAAAGUGACCACAACC